rnacentral:rRNA from 1 species
UGGGGAAUUUUGGACAAUGGGCGAAAGCCUGAUCCAGCAAUGCCGCGUGAGUGAAGAAGGCCUUCGGGUUGUAAAGCUCUUUUGUCAGGGAAGAAACGGUGAGGGCUAAUAUCCCUUGCUAAUGACGGUACCUGAAGAAUAAGCACCGGCUAACUACGUGCCGGCAGCCGCGGUAAUACGUAGGGUGCAAGCGUUAAUCGGAAUUACUGGGCGUAAAGCGUGCGCAGGCGGUUUUGUAAGUCUGAUGUGAAAUCCCCGGGCUCAACCUGGGAAUUGCAUUGGAGACUGCAAGGCUAGAAUCUGGCAGAGGGGGGUAGAAUUCCACGUGUAGCAGUGAAAUGCGUAGAUAUGUGGAGGAACACCGAUGGCGAAGGCAGCCCCCUGGGUCAAGAUUGACGCUCAUGCACGAAAGCGUGGGGAGCAAACA